AACGGCCAUACCAUGCUGAAUAUACCGGUUCUCGUUAGAUAAUAGAAGUCAAGCUACAUUGGGCACGGUCAGUACUUGGGUGGGUGACCACCUGGGAACUAUGCGUGACGU